UCCAACUACACAUGGGGAGGGGGGUCCAUGUUAGUGAUCUCAGUUCUCCACAUCCUAAAACUGCAAUCAACCCUACUCAGGAAUCUGUACAGAGGUACAGCUGAUGCUAAUACCACAUCUAAACUGCAAUUUGGAUCAGUUAAAACACAUUACUCAACCAAAUUCAGGACUCCUAUUCUGUUUUCAAGGUGUGUUGGUUUUUUUAAGGGAAGAUCUGUGUGACCUUCCAUAACCAACCUCUCCAUCCCUGCCCCCACCACCCAUGCAUCCAAAUGAAUUUAAAGUCUCAGUCCCAUUACCUUUCAUUUCAGAAAUUAAUAACUGGCUUAAUGCCUCCUUUUAAUUUCAGUCCUCUUUUUAUGAUCAACCCACUCCUUCAAUAUGAGAUAAAUCACACAUCACUAAUGAUGGGAGAUCUUCCAAUCACCAUCUCUUUACAUAUAAAAGAUAUAGAUUGGAUUAUAGCAACUUCUUAACAGGUUUAAGUAGUAAAAUCCCACUUAUAUGAGAAUUUGACUCUCCCCCCCCAGAUUACAAGUGAUUAUCAGUUAAGCAGUAUCGGGGGGGGGGGUUAAUGUUCCAUUUGAUGUUAUUCUUUCCCUCCACUUUUACCAGUACAUGGAAAGUGAGGGAGUUCAGAGGUCACUCCUACUUGUCAUAGACCCCCAGAUACAGCAACUGGAGUGGUGGAAGAAAAGGGAAGGCUAAGUGGACUGGGAGGUGAAAAGGAAGCUUCCUCAUGAGCAACAGCCUCCUUGGGAGUAAGAGUUUCACCUUUCAAAAUGAAUGUCUUCAAGUUUUGAAAGUCAAUCCAUGGACGCCUUCUUCCUAAUGACACCAGUCAGUUCAUUCCGGCGUAUACUUCUGACUUGGUGAAUAUCCUCACAACAAAUAUGUGACAAG